rnacentral:rRNA from 1 species
GGCGGACGGGUGAGUAAUGUCUGGGAAACUGCCCGAUGGAGGGGGAUAACUACUGGAAACGGUAGCUAAUACCGCAUAACGUCGCAAGACCAAAGAGGGGGACCUUAGGGCCUCUUGCCAUCGGAUGUGCCCAGAUGGGAUUAGCUAGUAGGUGGGGUAACGGCUCACCUAGGCGACGAUCCCUAGCUGGUCUGAGAGGAUGACCAGCCACACUGGAACUGAGACACGGCCAG